rnacentral:lncRNA from 1 species
UCAACUACAUAAUCAUUCAUUAUCUUUACAAUUAACCAUCUAAAGCUACCACAGUUCUUCAAUCAAAGUAUAUAUCUACAUAUAUAGAGAGAGUACACUUCAUAAUUUCGUCCCUUGUCUUCCGUAAACGUAGCACGAAAAUUUGAUACCCAGUAUUGUAAGGCAAGUCGUAGAAGCAGUCUUCCUGCACAUAUUUAAA